rnacentral:rRNA from 1 species
GACGAACGCUGGCGGCGUGCUUAACACAUGCAAGUGGAGCGACGAACCAGAGCUUGCUCUGGGGCAGAGCCGCGAACGGGUGAGUAACACGUGGGUAACCUACCCCAAUGACCGGGACAACCCGAGGAAACUCGGGCUAAUACCGGAUGUGCUCGAUUACUUCAAGGUUUUUGAGUAAAGAUAGCUUCGGCCUUCGCAUUGGGACGGCCCGCGGCCCAUUAGCUUGUUGGUGAGGUAACGGCUUACCAAGGCGACGAUGGGUAGCUGGUCUGAGAGGACGAUCAGCCACACUGGGACUGAGACACGGCCCAGACUCCUACGGGAGCUG